UUUUAUUCUAAGUUGCUUCAAAUCCUUUUCAGAAAGAGUUGCACAUUAAAAAAAAAAAAAAAUUAACAGUUCAAUUCUGAAAAGCCACCCAGAGCCCAAGCUGGCAGCAUUUGCUUUUGUAAUAGCCUGGGAGGGCCCCUAAAGUAGCCCUGUACUUUAUCUUUGCAAACACAUGUCAGCCAGGGCAGCGGUGCUCACCGGAGAUCUCAGGAGACAAGGGCAAAAAUCACCCGUCAUUUUCUACUGAAUGGGUGACUGGAGGACCAUUCAGGUUCCUAGGGACUGGGUCUUGGGGAAGGAUUAAUGUGAAGAGCCCUUGGAAAUCAGCAUUGCCCCUGCCUGCACGGCUAUUGUUCAGAGAGACAGCAGAGUUCCUGAUGUUAUUUCUUUUAAAACUGCUGUUUGCACAAGUAACAUCUAAAUGACAGGGAAUAACAGAAUAUUGAUUGUGCUCUGUGAGAGGAGACGAACCCCACCACGCGCUGGGGAGGCGUGAGGGAGCCAUGGAGCACAGCUACCACGCUAAGAGACCUACCAAGAGGAACGCCAGAGUGAGCAAACUCAUUAAAAAAUUUCCAAGUGGAGCUUGCUCAUUCAGUUGAUUUCAAGUGCCUUGCUGGACUUGAAAGAUGACCUUAGAAGAAUUCAGCGGGCAUCUGUGUGAAGCACAGAAGCUUCAUAAGAAAGAGGGCAGACCUAUUGUGUAAUGUCUAGUCAGAGAGGAGAGUCCAAGUCACAAGUUGUCUACCUGGAGCCAUCCUCAGUAUCACAGGGUGCAAUCAAAUAUCCUUCAAAGACAAAAAGGAAAGACUGCUGUCCUCAACUGUAGUCAGCCAAUGACAGUCCUCAGUCCAAGAGAAAUCCAAGUCAUGGACGGAAGAUAUAUCAGGAUUGCCUAGCCUCAUCAUUUCAACAAAUAGCCUCCAAAAGGAUGGAGCCAGAGGGUGAUAGGGACCUAGGCGUGAUUUGGUUUUGCAGGACAGUGGCAAUGAAGAACAAAAAGUAAUGUCUCUGCUCACAAAACAAAAAGCUCAUAUAGGCAGUGGUAUGCACCUUAAUCCCAGAACUCAAGAGGCAGAGACACACAGAGAACUUUGUGAGUUCAAGGGCAGUCUGGUCUACCUAGUGACUUCUAAGACAACCAAAGGAUACAUAGAAAGACACUGUCUCAAAUAACCUAACGAACAAAAACAACAACAACAAAAAAAACAGACAAAAAACAAAAACCAAAACAACAACAACAACAGAAAAAAAAUCUAACACAGUAGGACACAUGAUUAGAACAUCACAGCUUGCCCUUUUGGAAAGGGUAUUGGUUCUUUGGGAUGAGGUGUUGAAAAUGGCUUAUAAAUAUUAUUUCUCUCAAUUCUGGGUUCUGUUUGAGUUGUGUGAUCUUGGGCAAAUUUGCUUAAUAAAAUUUCCUUAGCUAUAAUAUGAGGAGACUGGCCUGUUCCACUCUUUUGUAAGGAUCAAAUGAGUUAACUACAUCUCAUACAGGGCUUGGCAUACAGAAAGUACGUAGGAAGUCACAGUCCUGACUAGCCAUACACCUACAACCUCGGAGACUUGGGGGGCUCCUUUUAAAUCUACGGGUCAUUUUCUAUGCCUUUCCCCCU
rnacentral:lncRNA from 1 species